rnacentral:rRNA from 1 species
GUCGCUCCUACCGAUUGAGUGAUCCGGUGAAUUAUUCGGACUGACGCAGUGCUCAGCUUCUGGACGUUGCGUUAGAAAGUUUCAUGAACCUUAUCACUUAGAGGAAGGAGAAGUCGUAACAAGGUUUCCGU